rnacentral:rRNA from 1 species
UGGGGAAUAUUGCACAAUGGGGGAAACCCUGAUGCAGCGACGCCGCGUGAACGAAGAAGGUAUUCGUAUCGUAAAGUUCUGUCCUAUGGGAAGAUAAUGACAGUACCAUAGAAGAAAGCUCCGGCUAAAUACGUGCCAGCAGCCGCGGUAAUACGUAUGGAGCGAGCGUUGUCCGGAAUUAUUGGGCGUAAAGGGUACGCAGGCGGUUUAAUAAGUCGAAUGUUAAAGAUCGGGGCUCAACCCCGCAAAGCAUUGGAAACUGAUAAACUUGAGUAGUGGAGAAGAAAGUGGAAUUCCUCGUGUAGUGGUGGAAUACGUAGAUAUUAGGAGGAGUACCAGUAGCGAAGGCGACUUUCUGGACACCAACUGACGCUGAGGUACGAAAGCGUGGGGAGCAAACAGG